AGGACGUAUGCUGGCGGCAUGCCUAAUACAUGCAAGUCGAACGAGCUUCCGUUGAAUGACGUGCUUGCACUGAUUUCAACAAUGAAGCGAGUGGCGAACUGGUGAGUAACACGUGGGGAAUCUGCCCAGAAGCAGGGGAUAACACUUGGAAACAGGUGAUAAUACCGUAUAACAACAAAAUCCGCAUGGAUUUUGUUUGAAAGGUGGCUUCGGCUAUCACUUCUGGAUGAUCCCGCGGCGUAUUAGUUAGUUGGUGAGGUAAAGGCCCACCAAGACGAUGAUACGUAGCCGACCUGAGAGGGUAAUCGGCCACAUUGGGACUGAGACACGGCCCAAACUCCUACGGGAGGCAGCAGUAGGGAAUCUUCCACAAUGGACGAAAGUCUGAUGGAGCAAUGCCGCGUGAGUGAAGAAGGGUUUCGGCUCGUAAAACUCUGUUGUUAAAGAAGAACACCUUUGAGAGUAACUGUUCAAGGGUUGACGGUAUUUAACCAGAAAGCCACGGCUAACUACGUGCCAGCAGCCGCGGUAAUACGUAGGUGGCCAGCGUUGUCUGGAUUUAUUGGGCGUAAAGCGAGCGCCGGCGGUUUUUUAAGUUUGAUGUGAAAGCCUUCGGGUUAACCGGAGAAGUGCCUCGGAAACUGGGCGAGUUGAGUGCAGAAGAGGACAGUGGAACUCCCUGUGUAGCGGUGGAAUGGGUAGAUAUUUGGAAGAACACCAGUGGGGAAGGCGGCCGUCUAGUCCGUAACUGACGGUGAGGCUCGAAAGCAUGGGUGGCGAACCGGGUUAGAUACCCUGGUUGUCCCUGCCGUAAACGAUGAGUGAUAAGGGUGGGAGGGCUCCGCCCUUCAGUUGCUGCAGCUAACGCAUUAAGCACUAA
rnacentral:rRNA from 1 species